CAGCAGCCGCGGUAAUACGAAGGGGGCUAGCGUUGUUCGGAAUUACUGGGCGUAAAGCGUGCGCAGGCGGUUGUGUAAGACAGGUGUGAAAUCCCCGGGCUUAACCUGGGAACUGCGCUUGUGACUGCACAGCUAGAGUAUGGCAGAGGGGGGUGGAAUUCCACGUGUAGCAGUGAAAUGCGUAGAGAUGUGGAGGAACACCGAUGGCGAAGGCAGCCCCCUGGGCCAAUACUGACGCUCAUGCACGAAAGCGUGGGGAGCAAACAGGAUUAGAUACCCCCGUAGUCCCUGUCUCUUAUAC
rnacentral:rRNA from 1 species